GCAGCAUCAGCCUCACUUCACCUUGGAUGACAUGACGAUUAUGAAAUAUUCAGUCAUCCCCCUUGGGUCUACCUGUUGGACACUUGGACCUACUCAUGUGUUUGAGAUGAUUGUGCAGAAAAGCUGAAAAACGGGAUAAAAUUCUAUGUGAGAGAUGACCGCUAAAGGAGUGCGACGCCACCAUCCUGUGCCACAAACCAUACCAAGAAUGGCGGGUUAUGGAUAGAGUUCAUUUGAUCCAUCUGAUAAAAAUACCUAUUGGGGAAUAAGCAUGAAAAGUAAUCAACCACUCUUUCCGCAGUGGAGUUCGGCCGUGAUGAUCAGAAGUUUAGGACCACACUGUAGUCAAGAAAAAGGAAUGAUCUUCGAGUUGAAAUGGAUUUGAUGAGGGAAGUCUGCAAUGCAGACUGUGUUAAGUGUACCCGCUCCAGAUUUCAUCGACAGUAAAUGGUCCACUG